GAUGAAGAACGUAGCGAAAUGCGAUAAGUAGUGUGAAUUGCAGAAUUCAGUGAAUGAUCGAAUCUUUGAACGCACAUUGCGCCCCUUGGUAUUCCAUGGGGCAUGCCUGUUCGAGCGUCAUUUGUACCUUCAAGCUCUGCUUGGUGUUGGGUGUUUGUCCUUGCUCUAGUGGCGGGACUCGCCUUAAAGUAAUUGGCAGCCAGUGUUUUGGUUUUGAAGCGCAGCACAAGUCGCGAUUCAAGUCUAUACGCUAGUUUCCACAAGUCUUUUAUCACUUUUGACCUCGGAUCAGGUAGGGAUACCCGCUGAACUUAAGCAUAUCAAUAAGCGGAGGA
rnacentral:misc_RNA from 1 species